GACGAACGCUGGCGGCGUGCUUAACACAUGCAAGUCGAACGGAAAGGCCCUGCUUUUGUGGGGUGCUCGAGUGGCGAACGGGUGAGUAACACGUGAGUAACCUGCCCUUGUCUUUGGGAUAACUUCAGGAAACUGGGGCUAAUACCGGAUAGGAGCUCCUGCUGCAUGGUGGGGGUUGGAAAGUUUCGGCGGUUGGGGAUGGACUCGCGGCUUAUCAGCUUGUUGGUGGGGUAGUGGCUUACCAAGGCUUUGACGGGUAGCCGGCCUGAGAGGGUGACCGGCGACAUUGGGACUGAGGUACGGCCCAGACUGCUACGGGAGGCAGAAGUGGGGAAUAUUGCACAAUGGGCGGAAGCCUGAUGCAGCAGCGCCGCGUGCGGGAUGACGGCCUUCGGGUUGUGAACCGCUUUCGCCUGUGACGAAGCGUGAGUGACGGUAAUGGGUAAAGAAGCACCGGCUAACUACGUG
rnacentral:rRNA from 1 species